rnacentral:rRNA from 1 species
AUCAUGGCUCAGGAUGAACGCUGGCGGCAUGCCUAAUACACGCAAGUCGAACGAAGUCUUCAGGAAGCUUGCUUCCAAAAAGACUUAGUGGCGAACGGGUGAGUAACACGUAGGUAACCUGCCCAUGUGUCCGGGAUAACUGCUGGAAACGGUAGCUAAAACCGGAUAGGUAUACGGAGCGCAUGCUCUGUAUAUUAAAGCGCCCAUCAAAGGCGUGAACAUGGAUGGACCUGCGGCGCA